rnacentral:rRNA from 1 species
GAUGAACGCUGGCGGCGUGCCUAAUACAUGCAAGUCGAGCGAACAGACGAGGAGCUUGCUCCUCUGACGUUAGCGGCGGACGGGUGAGUAACACGUGGAUAACCUACCUAUAAGACUGGGAUAACUUCGGGAAACCGGAGCUAAUACCGGAUAAUAUAUUGAACCGCAUGGUUCAAUAGUGAAAGACGGUUUUGCUGUCACUUAUAGAUGGAUCCGCGCCGCAUUAGCUAGUUGGUAAGGUAGCGGCUUACCAAGGUAACGAUGCGUAGCCGACCUGAGAGGGUGAUCGGCCACACUGGAACUGAGACACGGUCCAGACUCCUACGGGAGGCAGCAGUAGGGAAUCUUCCGCAAUGGGCGAAAGCCUGACGGAGCAACGCCGCGUGAGUGAUGAAGGUCUUCGGAUCGUAAAACUCCGUUAUUAGGGAAGAACAAAUGUGUAAGUAACUAUGCACGUCUUGACGGUACCUAAUCAGAAAGCCACGGCUAACUACGUG